rnacentral:rRNA from 1 species
AGUAAUACAUCGGAACGUGCCCAGUAGUGGGGGAUAACCCGGCGAAAGCCGGACUAAUACCGCAUACGACCUAUGGGUGAAAGCAGGGGAUCGCAAGACCUUGCGCUAUCGGAGCGGCCGAUGUCAGAUUAGCUUGUUGGCGGGGUAAAAGCCCACCAAGGCGACGAUCUGUAGCUGGUCUGAGAGGACGACCAGCCACACUGGGACUGAGACACGGCCCAG